GUGAAGAACGUAGUGAAAUGCGAUAAGUAAUGUGAAUUGCAGAAUCCAGUGAAUCAUCGAAUCUUUGAACGCACAUUGCGCCCGCCAGCAUUCUGGCGGGCAUGCCUGUUCGAGCGUCAUUUCAACCCUCGACCUCCCCUUGGGGAGGUCGGCGUUGGGGACCGGCAGCACACCGCCGGCCCUGAAAUGGAGUGGCGGCCCGUCUGCGGCGACCUCUGCGUAGUAAUACAGCUCGCACCGGAACCCCGACGCGGCCACGCCGUAAAACACCCAACUUCUGAACGUUGACCUCGAAUCAGGUAGGACUACCCGCUGAACUUAAGCAUAUCAAUAAGCGGAGGA
rnacentral:misc_RNA from 1 species